CGAUCAGUCAUUUUCUAAAAAAAAUUACAAAUUUAUAUACUUUUUUAACCACAAAUGUUCAUCUUGCACUGCUCUGCGAUUCACACGCAUGACGUAAUCACGUUAAAAAGGUCAUGCGUGACGUUGGCGGAAGUACCGAUCCAGUAUCUACAAAGCGAACAUGCAAAGAUUAAGCUAAACGCCCUUUACAAAAAAAGGUAAAACAACGAUUUCGGACGUUUUUAAAGUUGAAGGAGAAAAGUAGAUUGUUUUUCGCCCUACAGCGGUACUUCCGCCUACUUCACGCGUGACCUUGCAAUGUAAUGCGUGGGGCAGUGCAAGAUCAGCAUUUGUGGUUAAAAAAAUAUAUAUAUAUUAUUUAUUUAACUAUUAUUAUUGGUUAUUUAAAAAAAAAAAAAAAAAAGACCAAUCGUUUCGCUAGAUAAGACCCUUAUUCCUCGUCUGGGAUUGCGUAGAGCCCUUUUAAGCUGCACUGAAACUGCAAUUUGGACCUCCCAUCCGGCGAACCUCACUGAAGUCCACUAUAUGGAGAAAAAUCCUGGAAUGUUUUCCUCAAAAACCUUAAUUUCUUUCCGACUGAAGAAAGAAAGACAUGAACAUCUUGGAUGACAUGGGUUUAUCCAGAGGCCGGUAUCAUGAUUCGACAGACUUCAGAUCCAGGACAGCAUUGAAGAAGAUUGAAACCGAACGUCCUCCAGCUAUGUGAGGUGCAUGAUAUCAGUGAUGGAGCAGGAGAGGUUGUGACUGGUUCAUUUUUACUUUCCAGUACCCAAAAAAGAGAUCAGAGGACUGACACCCUUCUGACCCCCACCCAGACAUCCGCCCACGGCUGCAACCUGACCCUGUGACCUCUGACACCUUCACCUUUUGGAAAAGCUUCAAGGGAGUAACCUAAAAUGGUUGGUAUAUUCAAACUAAUAUGUUUAACAAACAAAAAGUCUGCUCCCGUAAUCACCAACAACAUAAAGCCAUCACAAAAACCCUCAGGAAACUCAAUGCCAAUGUUGGCGGUUCAUACAUGACCUGUUCUCAGGUCUAUCGGUAAGUUUUUUUUAAUUGUUGGUCUGUAAGCACUAGAUGGAUGUCUUUAACCGUUGUCAUCCACCUCGCUGUUUUUUAGCAUCUCACACCAUGAUUGCUGUGUUUUAAGAUGCUGUGUGAAGUUCAAUGAUGGACAGCAUAUCAAAAGUCGAUUUCAGGAUCUGUGUACUUCGUCCACCACUGGUAAAGUUAUAAACAUUUAAAAACAUGUCUGACUUUCAUACUAUGCCUGAUAUUUUGCAGUAAUGUGAUGUGAUUACAACAUAACACCAGGAGGAAUCUCCCUCUGUCAUUGUCAUUGUCUUUCGACAUCACACAAAGGACAAAGUCAAAAGUCUUAAAUUCCUUUGAGCCUCAGACACCAAAUGUGGCUGAUCUCAUUUCACAAAACACUCACACACAUACACACACCCUCUUUACUGCCUCCCUGAAUCAUCCCUGUCUUUUUACUCUCUUAUGACACUUUAGAGAAGCUCUCGUAACCCCUGGGCCCCUGAGACAACCAGCCAUUUUGAAAGAGGACACCCGAGAGGACAGCAUAGAGAGUGUCCUGCCAUUCUUCAAGUGUGCUGAGGUGGGGGAGGAUUUAUGUGUGUGACAUUGGUAGCUGAGGUAGCGGGAGGGAUCCAUGGUGAGUGAGAGAGAGAGAUGGCUAGAUUAUGUGCUUUAGUAAGGGAAUGAGCGGAAUGCCAGUUUGUGUCGCUUCUCCGCAUUCUGCAGGCCUGACAUUGUGAGAGUGAUCAGGCCGUUCUACCCCUCAACAGCUGUGUGUGUGUGUGUUGGUGGGGAGGGGUGCAUACAUGUGGACUCAUGGGUGUACAUAUGUUCUGAGCUUCCUCACUUAAAUCAGCAUUUAAUUACCUAGAUGGCAUUGGUGAAAGUGAAAUAUUAAAAUAUGCUUUGCGUAUGCAAAAUAUUACAUUGGUAUUCAAAGCCAUAUUUAUCUCUCUGUCUAAGCUGUGACCUUGCACAUUUAUGCAUCUUGGCAGCUGUUUUAAAGUAAUUUCUAGCUUUUAAUCCAGUGUUCAAACCAUAACAACAUACCCUGCAUUUGUACCUCUCUGCAGAAAACAUCCUGUUUUUCAGAGCAUAUGUCUAGAACAAAUGCAAAUUAUUUGUUGUAAGUUGUGGUACAACAUCACAUUAUGGAUUCUGGAUGUUUGUGCAGCGAAGUCAUUAUAAGUGUCUCUGUUGCAAUGAUGUAAUUAUCAGUAUUCGGAUAGAGCUGAAAAUGGGCGGGGCUUAAACUGGAAGUGCUCAAACUAAAUUAAAAGUUUUUUUUUUUGUAGGUGUUUUAUAGGCUAUCAGCAAACUUGUAUAAUUCAUACAUGUGUUUAUAAUUAUAGAAAAUAUUUAUUUUGUUAUUGCAAUCUUUAUGUAAAUUAAAGGUAAACAUGCAUGUUUUAAUGUGGAAAAAAAAAAAUACUUUAUCCAUGUUGGAUAAUCAGCCUAACAAAUUUUUUUUUUUUUUCUGUUCAUUCUUCGAGCACAUUCCUAUAUCAUGCAUUUCUAAUGCUUUAGGCCUAUAACCUCUUAUAUUCCUAUUUUAGCUCUAUACUUUCAAAUAUUCUUGAUUAAAUUAAUAAUUCAUAUUUUGUAAAACUCUUAUUGUCUGCUGUAUCUUCAUGCAUCACACAUCCUCAGUUUUUAAUUUCAUUAAAAUGUAUUAAAAUGUAAUUCAUUGCUGGUUCUCUCAGGGGGUUAAAACUGUAACUAUCAGGCACAUUUAAGUGCUUCUCCCUUCUUUGCAUUUCUCUCUUUGGUUCUAACCAGUUUCACUUUUCACUCAGAUUAGAUUUACCUCCUUUUCCUUUCAGCCACACUUCUCUCUUCCCUCUCCAUCCUUCACAGUGAAUUCCACACAGGAUCAGGCCUGCUUUUCAUGCUUAGCUGAAUCAAAAAAAAAAAAAAAAAAAAAAAAAGAGAGAGCGAGAGAGAGUGCAAGAGACAGGAAUGGAAAUUUAACUGUAGAAGAGAUCUGUUGAAAAAGAGUCAUUCAACAAGCAUAACAGAGGGCCUUAUCUUCAGGAAAAGAACGAAUGAAAGAGAGUGAGACAAAGCCAGUGCAAGUAGUGGAAGCGAAUGAAACAAUGUGCAAAGGUCACUGAAACAUUACAGGGGGAUAGCAGGUUGCCAGAGCAACACACAAAGCUAGGCCAGCGGGAGUGAGGUAAAAAAGGGAGGGAGUGAAAAACAGAAGGAGGUAAGUGGGAAGAAAGGAGAAGGAGCAGAAAAAGUGAUCAGGCUAUAUCACAAGUUAAGCCUGUGGACGAUGGAUUCAAUUUUCAAACAGUGCAAAAGUUAUAGUUCCUGUUUUUUCUUGUGGCACAGUAAACUGAGUUCUGUUCAAGGACAUCAGCUUUAUUGCAUUGUGGUGAAAUGCCCUCCACAGUAUUGAUUUUCAUUAGAAAACAUGAAAGAUAAGUUGCAUUACUUGGAACAUAAAAUUGAAUAGUGAAAUAUGAGUUUAACUUUAUUAACCACAGAAGUGCAAUGUCUGAAUCAGUCACCAUUUAAAGUUGUGAUGUAAGGGCGGGACUUCGUUCUAUCCAUUGGUUGUUGAUUGGAUGAAGAUACAAUGUUAACAUUAA